GCAGUCGACGGUAGCACAGAGAGCUUGCUCUCGGGUGACGAGUGGCGGACGGGUGAGUAAUGUCUGGGAAACUGCCUGAUGGAGGGGGAUAACUACUGGAAACGGUAGCUAAUACCGCAUAACGUCGCAAGACCAAAGUGGGGGACCUUCGGGCCUCAUGCCAUCAGAUGUGCCCAGAUGGGAUUAGCUUGUUGGUGAGGUAACGGCUCACCAAGGCGACGAUCCCUAGCUGGUCUGAGAGGAUGACCAGCCACACUGGAACUGAGACACGGUCCAGACUCCUACGGGAGGCAGCAGUGGGGAAUAUUGCACAAUGGGCGCAAGCCUGAUGCAGCCAUGCCGCGUGUAUGAAGAAGGCCUUCGGGUUGUAAAGUACUUUCAGCGAGGAGGAAGGGGGAAUGGUUAAUAACCAUUUUCAUUGACGUUACUCGCAGAAGAAGCACCGGCUAACUCCGUGCCAGCAGCCGCGGUAAUACGGAGGGUGCAAGCGUUAAUCGGAAUUACUGGGCGUAAAGCGCACGCAGGCGGUCUGUCAGGUCGGAUGUGAAAUCCCCGGGCUCAACCUGGGAACUGCAUUCGAAACUGGCAGGCUAGAGUCUUGUAGAGGGGGGUAGAAUUCCAGGUGUAGCGGUGAAAUGCGUAGAGAUCUGGAGGAAUACCGGUGGCGAAGGCGGCCCCCUGGACAAGACUGACGCUCAGUGCGAAGCGUGGGAGCAACAGGAU
rnacentral:rRNA from 1 species